UUUCAGUUUUUUUUAUAUAUAUUGAUUUGACUUCGUCUUAUUUGAAAGUUUUUUAUGAUUAAUAUUUUUAUUUUUACUAGAUGAUAAAACUCGAAUAGUAUUUAUGCGUGACUAUUUUUUUUAAGUUUUUAUAUAAAUAUUUUAAAUAAGACGAAUGGUCAUACGAUAAACACAGGAAUUGAACAAUGAAGUUAUU
rnacentral:pre_miRNA from 1 species